UACCAGCACCCCGAGUGGUCUGGACGAUUAUUGGGCCUAAAGCAUCCGUAGCUUGUUCUGCAAGUCCUCCGUUAAAUCCACCUGCUCAACAGAUGGGCUGCGGGGGAUACUACAGGGCUAGGAGGCGGGAGAGGCAAACGGUACUCAGUGGGUAGGGGUAAAAUCCUCUGAUCCACUGAAGACCACCAGUGGCGAAGGCGGUUUGCCAGAGCGCGCUCGACGGUGAGGGAUGAAAGCUGGGGGAGCAAACCGG
rnacentral:rRNA from 1 species